GGGCUUCAACAUCUAGUAUAUUAUAUUAUUUCUACUUAAGUAGUAGUGUGGGAAAAGAUUGACAUUGUUUCUACUUAACUAGAAGUGUGGGAUUGACAUGUCUGCUUGAUGUCAUUUUUCAGUUGAUUGAGGAUAUUUUGGUCAUUUCAGCUGAUUUUUCUUUCCACUUGGAGUUAGAUGUACAUACGUGGCUUCCGUUCAUUUUGUUCUUCACGUGGUAAUACAGCCACCGCUUUGACAUACAUGGCUUUUAUGCAUUUCCAUCAAAUUCUUCAUCCACAGCUGAAGACCUACCGGGCAACCAUCCAAUGAUGAAAAGUAGUUUAUUCUUGUGUGGAACAUGCUGGUUGCUUCAAUAGAAGAACGAUACCGAGACACAGGUAUUUUGUCAAAGAAGACGUUACUGCACACGUCCCUGAAGAAAAAGUUUGAUACGGAGAGUCUAGAGCAUCCACUUGGAGACAUUGGGUGAAAUAUCAGUUGUUUUGGGGCUAGACAAUACACAUAGAAGCCAUGGACAAGAAGAGAAUGCAGAAGUUCUGGAAAGAGAUGCAGCGGUACUAAUUGAUAUUCCUAAGCAAGAGAAAGAAGAUGCAAGAUGAUUAAACGAAGACGCCAACUUCUCUGGCGUGGAGGAUAAGGUUUGUAUGGAGAAGAAUGACAAGGAACUUUAACAAGGCGGUACUGCAUCAGAUGGCUUUUCACAACUAAUCACCAAAAGCAACCUACAGACACUACCAACACGGAGGAAUCAGACACAGUCGAGAUUCUACAGAAAAAAAUACAAAAUUCAGUAGGCAGAGAUAUUGAAAUUCUUAGAUUUAGAAAAAGCCAUUGAACAGUCAGCAGAGCCCCAGCUAUCCACUAUUACCAAUGAUGGAAGUUCGAGUAUUACUUCCAGGAUGAACAAAGAGUUGGGAAAGAAAAUAUGGAGGAAGGUGAGGAAUUGCCAGCUCAUAAUGAUGUUGUGGUCUCUGAACCCGAUAAUGAAGGCAAAGAGCAUAAUGUGGAUGUCGAACCGAGGCAUGUGGAGCAGAAGUUUGAGACGCACAGUAAAGAACUAGUGGUUGGAAACUGUGACUGAGGAACCAGUUGAUUGAAGUAAAGCUAUGACUGCUCCAACAUCAGAAGCUGCAACUACUGAGAUAGAACUGUUAGGGGAAAAAAAGCUUGGUACAGGAAGGACCACAAGACAUGUCCAUCGACGGGUGAAGCCGUGGAAGGUAAUUCCGCUGAUGUUGCCCAUGCUCUUGGUUCUACGCCUACUGAGGUACAAAUUAUGGAUGCAAACGAGCUUCAAGUAUGGAGGAAAGUAGACAUGUCAUGGUCAAACCAAGUAUCCAGUGAUAGUGAUGCACUAUCUGACAGUUUGUUAAAUUCCACGAGUUUCCUGCAUCUAUGCACGAAGUAUGUGCUAUCACUAUUACAUUAUUAAAUUUAGCUUGCGCAUUUAUCUAAAUGUACCAAUUUCUCUCCUCUUUUUCUUCUAAAACUUAUUUAUAUUAUAGGUUUGGAUGACACUUUCAACCUUUUCUGAUUUUCCUGUUUCUUAUGGACA